rnacentral:lncRNA from 1 species
UUUUUUUUUUUUUUUUUUGCUUUUUAGGGCUGCACCUGAGGCAUACAGAGGCUCCUAGACUCGGGGUCUAAUCGAAGCUACAGCCACGGCAACUUGGGAUCCGAGUCUCGUCUUCAACCUACACCAUGACUCACGGCAACACCAGAUCCUAAACCCACUGAGCCGAAGCCAGGGAUCAAACCUGCAGCCUCGUGGUUCCUAGUCGGAUUCGUUUCCACUGCACCACGCACGACGAGAACGCCUCAAGCUGCUUCCGUAAGCUGCCAUGAGCAGAGUCAGUGAGCAAGUCUGUGAAAACGACCGGGGAAAAAUAAGGAAAGCUGAAAGAUCAAAAUUGAAAUAUUUAGGCAUCACCGCUGCCGUGUGAGACAUGGAGCCGGACUAUGGUGUUUCUAGAAGAACAAUUCCAUCAGGACAAACUUCAGGCCCCUCUGGUUAUAGAUUAAAUGAGGGAUCGUGGCUACUGUGAGGCUCUCCAUUCCUUAUAUUCCGAAUCGAGAUAAAAUCUCCAUGCCUGAAUUUUGCUCCUACCUAUUCUGGGCUGACAUAGCUGCUCCUAUCAACCAGCAACGGUAGCCCGCAAACAAGCAAUACUUUUAAGAACUUUACUGUGUACUUAGAUAGCUAGAAAGACAUAGCUGAUUCCACCAAAAACUCAAGCUGAUCUGACAAAUAUAUAUACGUACAAUACAAAUGCAUAAAUUACAAUUGGAGGCCUAGGGAACUAGAGCAGAAGAGAAGAAAAAGCAGGAAAGCUGGGACCCAGGCAUGCAGGCCCUGGAUCCACACUCAGUUACUAACUGUGGGUUGAAGUGGUUUACCUCCAACGGCUUUCCGGCUCAGAGUUCAACUCCAGGACCAUAGCGUGGCCUCUGGGACAGCUGCCGUCAUCCCAUCCCCCAGCCCCAAGCCCCAUCCUCCACCCCAGCCUCGGUCCAGCCCUCUCAGACAUGCCCGGCGGGUCUCUCUCCUGGGGCUUUGCAGCUACUGCCCUUCGCCCCCCUGAAGCCUGCUCACACGGGUGGCCGAGACCCUCUAGUGCGGGCUCUGUCCACUCACCUCGCCGGCCGCCCACUUGGCACGAGGUGAGCAAGAGCUCCUGGUUGAGACCGAGGCCGAAUUCCACUGCCCCUCACUUUAUGGGGUAGAUGUUCCUGAAAAGAUAUUGGCUUCCAAGUGGUGCCAGAGGACUUCGUCCGUUGCCUGCACAUCCCGCAGAUUUGAGCUAAUUGUCCAAGGUCUGCUCUCCGGUUGUGUGCAGACUCCGAGCACCUCACCCAGGCGGCUGAAGUUCUGUCUGGGAACAAAGCAUUCAGUGAACUGAAACCAGAGAAAAGCCCAGGGCGACGGAGCCAAUGCCACGUCUGGUCCAUGGAGUUGACUUUUACAGACGUGGGUACAUUUGUAUUUGUUGUUAUGAUGAAUUGUUCUGACACUCACCCAGGCAGGAAACUAAUGGAAGUUUCUUUUCCUGAGGGCGCCUUAACGCAAACAUUCAAGACAACCUGGCCUCAGCUGGCCCAGAGCAGAAGUCAUAAGACUGGGGGGGGAAAAAAGCAAAUACAUAUUUAAAGAGACACAGAGAGCUCUGCUUUCUGAAAAC